rnacentral:sRNA from 1 species
UCCGCCUGCUCCUCAUCGUGCCCAUCUACGCCUUCGACUCCUGGCUCAGCCUCCUCCUCCUGGGAGACCACCAGUACUACGUCUAUUUUGACUCUGUGCGGGACUGCUACGAAGCUUCCUGAGCCUGUGUUUCCAGUACCUGGGAGGCGAGGGCGCCAUCAUGGCUGAGAUUCGUGGCAAACCUAUCAAGUCCAGCUGCUUCUACGGCACCUGCUGCCUCCGGGGCAUGACCUACUCCAUCGGGUUUCUGCGCUUCUGCAAGCAGGCCACUCUGCAGUUCUGCCUGGUGAAGCCCGUCAUGGCCGUCACCACCAUCAUCCUCCAGGCAUUCGGCAAAUACCACGAUGGGGACUUCAAGUAAGGCGGGAGCUGCGGGGGCGCCUGGCAUGAGGUGGGCACUGGGUCCCCCGGGGCCCAGGAGUGGGGCCCAACAAGGCGGACUUGGCACCCAGCUGGGCUCAAGUAAGGCAGGAGCUGCGGGGGCGCCUGGCAUGAGAUGGGCACUGGGUCCCCCGGGGCCCGGCAGUGGAGCCCAACGAGGAGGGCUUGGCGUCCAGCUAGGCUAGGGACCCCGCCCAAGACAGGUACCCACUUCCUCUCCACAAGGACCUCGGUGCCUGCCAAGGCCAGGGGCCUGGACCUCCCCUCACAGGACACGGCCGGGGUGAGUCUAGCGUCUGUGCCAGCGUCUGUGCCGAGGACCCCAGGGCUUCUGGCCAGGCAGUGACGGCCCCAGCCCCCGCCCAGCCUUGAGCACUCUUGAUAUUAAGGGCACCUGGGGCAAGGGGACCAAGGUCCACCCCGACCUGUUGGCUGAGCACACAGGCAGCCACCCGACACAGGGAGGGCCUCUGCCAAGGUCCACACACAUGCUCAUCAGUGCCACACACAUGCUCACACACGUGGACACAUGGGCUGUCACCUGUGCACACGCAUCAUACACGUGCAUCACAUGUUCACACAUGCACACAGCAUAUGCGCAAACCAUGCACACACCACAACCACACACGUAUGUACACAUGCACGCAAUAUGUGCACACACAAUGAACCCCAAUAUGUGCACAAUGAACCCCACGCAAUAUGUGCACACACAAUGAAAUAUGUGCGCACAUGACAUACAUGCACACACACCUAUGUGCACACACUCACACGGGAACGACACCUGUGUGUCCACCACACAGAGGAUCUUCAGGCAGUGGCCGGGUGGAUGGGGUUGGGAGGCAGCGUUCCGACAGAGGCAGCCUGGAUGCUGCCUGAGCAGAGGACGGGAUCCUGGGACGAGGAGGAGCAGGGCCGGGAGGGAGAACGGCCACAUGUCCCUGCCCUACCCCUGCAUAGGCCCCCCAGCCACCCCCAGCUCCCCACGCUCUCCUGCAGGCCCUGGAGUGAGGAUCAGAUCUGGGCAGGAUCCCUGCAGGGCCCAUGCUGCCAAGCUCAGGGUGGGGGCCAGGCCAAGGGUGCGGCGACGGCGGCUCUAGGGUGGGGACGGUGGCGGGGUCGUGGGACCGCCCUGACCACAGCCCCCGUCUGUCCCAGUGUCCGCAGCGGCUAUCUCUAUGUGACCCUCAUCUACAACGCCUCCGUCAGCCUCGCCCUCUACGCCCUGUUCCUCUUCUACUUCACCACCAGGGAGCUCCUGCGGCCCUUCCAGCCCGUCCUCAAGUUCCUCACCAUCAAAGCCGUCAUCUUCCUGUCGUUCUGGCAAGGGCUGCUGCUGGCUGUCCUGGAGCGGUGCGGGGUCAUCCCAGAGGUGGAGACCAGCAGCGGGAACAAGCUGGGGGCUGGCACGCUGGCCGCCGGCUACCAGAACUUCAUCAUCUGCGUGGAGAUGCUGUUCGCCUCCGUGGCCCUGCGCUAUGCCUUCCCCUGCCAGGUGUAUGCAGAGAAGAAGGAGAACUCACCAGCCCCACCGGCACCCAUGCAGAGCAUCUCCAGCGGCAUCAGGGAGACAGUGAGCCCCCAGGACAUCGUGCAGGACGCCAUCCACAACUUCUCCCCCGCCUACCAGCACUACACGCAGCAGGCCACGCACGAGGCGCCCAGGCCCGGCACCCACCCCGGCAGCGGCUCCGGCGGGAGCAGGAAGAGCCGGAGCCUGGAGAAGCGGAUGCUGAUCCCCUCGGAGGACCUGUAGGGGGGCCUGGGCUGCCGGUGCUAUAGGAACCCAGUCUGCCCAGGCCUCUGGGGAAGAACAGGGCCCCCUCACCCACCAACUCCUGCCAAAGGUGGGGCCUCUCCUGAGAGCCCUCCUGUGAGGCCCUCGGAGCCCACUUCCCAUCCUCCCUCCAGCCCGGGGGUCAGGGCACCUGAUGGCCCUGCCAGGCACCCAGGUGGGCCCGCCGCCCCAGGAGAGGGCACCUGAGCCAAUCGGAAGAGCCUGGGGACCCCCUGGGAUCACCUGGCCAUCAGCCCCCCAGGGGCCACUGUGGGGCAGAGAGUGAGUGUGGCUGCGGGGCCUUGGCUGCACGGGCCCCACAGGAGCUGUGAGUGGGUCAGACUCUCUGGCUCAGGAGACAGACAGAGGAUGGAUCCCAGGCUGGGCAGCUAGAGGGAGGGGCGCCGGGGUGCUGGGCAGCCCGGCUGUGACACAGUCAGCAGCUCCGGGCGCCGCAGGCCGGCGGGGUCCACACAGGCUGGACGGGGCUGGGCCUCCUCGGAGCCUGCUGCGGAGGUUGUGGGCACGUGGAGAAGGGGCCACGUGUCUCCACACACCAGCCACAGGGGAGCCCUGGCCAGGCUCCCACCCAGGGGAGUGUGUGCCUGGGAUGGGUCGCGGAACCACCGGGUGCCCGUGAGGCUGGCCGGCACGGCGGGGUGUGGGAAUCGCUCUUAUUUAUAUUUAAACACCUUGGAUUUUC